GCGAGUGUGGUGGAAUUGGUAGACACGCUAGACUUAGGAUCUAGUGCCGCAAAGUGUGAGAGUUCGAGUCUCUCGACUCGUACCA
rnacentral:tRNA from 1 species